AGUCUCAUUUGAAGCAAAGUUUGACGUCGUCAACAGUUAUGUUAUGAGUUGUUAUCUUACAAACAGUGAUAACGUCAACUACUUACUGACCCGCACACUGCUGUCAACACCCACACGACAAAGAUGAAGUCCUUCUGCUUGAUCACUGUUUCAGUGUUGGUGUUCCACGUAGCUGCUGCGGACGUGCCAUGUAGCCUGGGUGGGGACUGUCCCAAGGAGAUGUGCUGCAAAGGGAACCCCGAGUUCCCAGGGGUACUGCGCACCCCUGAAGACUGAAGGAGAAGACUGCCAGAUGUAUUCCGGGGUACCUUCCUGGGGUCAGACUCCAUGGAUGGUGAGAGAGUGCAACUGUCUCGAUGGCCUCUAUUGUGGAUCCGACAACCCACAACCUCCCUUGGGGUCUAGAGGUACUUGCCGGCAUUGGAGCGGUCUUCCAUAGAGUUCGGAACAACAUCUCCGUCCUUAUUUGCAAGAAUAUAUACGACUGGAAUAAAGUAACUGUACAUUAUUUGAUGUAAUGCCAUUUUAAUGCAAAAAUAUAAUAUCAUGAUUU